GAAGGAUGAUGGAGUAUACAUAGUGAUAUGGUGGAAGAAAACAAAGGGAAUGAUGGAGACUCUCUAGAGAAAAUGAAGAAAUAAUGGAGGAGCUUCUGCAGAUGUGAAGAAGAAAUGAAGAAGGAGAUUCUUUGUUUAUGUGGAAGAGAACAAAGCCCUCGUGAAGACGUCUGCUAUGAGGAAGGUAGACUGCAGAAGAUUUGGAGGAGAAGAGACAUUUUUGUGGAAGA
rnacentral:lncRNA from 1 species